rnacentral:lncRNA from 10 species
GUGAAGUCCCAUGAUAUGCUGUCUGCAAGCUGAGGAAGAAGGAAGCCAAUAGUGGCUCAGUCAGAGUUCAGAAGCCUCAAAAGCAGGGAAGCUGAUAGUAUAGCCUUCAGUCUGUGGCUGAAGGCCUGAGAGCCCCUGGAAAACCACUGGUGUAAGUCCAAGAGUCCAGAAGCUGAAGAACCUGGAGUCUGAUGACCAAGGGCAGGAAGCAUCCAGCACGGGACAAAGAAGAAAGCCAGAAGACUCAGCAAGCCAGCUCAUCUCACUUUCUUCUGCCUACUUUGUUGUAGCUGAGCUGGCAGCCAGUUGGAUGGUGCACACUCACAUUGAGGAUUGGGAGGCUGCUGUGUAUGGAUAAGAUACCUGCUACAGCCAGCUUGACACCAUGAGAAGGACAAGAGAAUUGCAGAGACACAUAUCCAGGAUUCUGAUCCAGUUGAGGCACUGAAAUAAUCUAGAACCACCUUCAAAUUUCUUAUAAAGAGAGCUAUGCUAUUAGGAUUUAAUUAAAUGGAUGCCAACAGCAAGUAAACCAUCUCCAAAGAUGCCAUGAAGCUCUCCUAAUUGCAGGAAAAUAUCAGAGGCACUUGAUUUGAGUCUUUCAAGUACGGAAAUAACAAAUUCAGUCUCAACAGACCUAUAGUGAAUGAGAAUGAUUGUCACAUAAUGUGUAGAGAAAAUGGAAGAAUCAAAGGCAAGGGAAACCUGUACAGUGGAGACACAAAGGGUCACUGGCAGAUUUCAAAUGAUCCAAG